rfam:Nadsonia fulvescens var. elongata DSM 6958 unplaced genomic scaffold NADFTscaffold_8, whole genome shotgun sequence.
GGCAAUCUGGCCGAGUGGUUAAGGCGAAGCACUCGAAUUAACUUUAUUUGAUAUGCUUUGGGCUCUGCCCGCGCAGGUUCGAAUCCUGCGGUUGUCG